rnacentral:rRNA from 1 species
AUGGAAAAAAUGGCAGGAAGUAAUAAGGAGCAGAACAUAGUUGAAGACAAAUUAUCUCAGGAAGACAUAGAAUAUGUCCUUGAGAAUGACAGCAUAGAACAGGCAAUAAAAUUGAGCCAAGAAGAUGAAAAAAGGCACAUGCCAGCCCUUGGAAUGACAUUUGAAAGUGAUGCUCAUGCACACCGAUUCUAUAAUGAAUAUUCAGCUAUUGCUGGGUUUUCAAUUCAGAAAGCUGCAAACUAUCACUGCCAGAAGAAAGAUGCACACAACAACAAAAUGACGAGGUUCACUAUGAAGUGUAACAGAUCUGGUAAACCUAGGAUAAGGACAAAACCAACAGCUGCAUGA